GCUUAUUAUUUGGGUCCAUAGCUGCUUAAGCAUAAUUGUUUUUCUGUCGACUUGCCGCUUGUGUUUUAUUCUUCUUUGUGCGAUAUCCGUUGUUGGUUCAGAACAGUAGGUCCGUUGAAAAUUCUGUCACUUGAUUGUUACAGCCUGUUCCACGAUCUCGAAAGAAAAUUUGUGCGAACGAAGGCUACUCACUCACUUUCGUAUAAGAAUGCGUUCCACUAACUUUCGUUCUUUCUUUCGCAUAGCCUUACGUGAUUCAGUGUUGCUAAAUAUUUUUUUGGAAAAAUUAAUCGCGAAAUAAAGCAAAAAAACGUCAAAUGUCUAAUUUAAACGCGAAAAAGCAGCAGUGGCUCUGUCUCAACUGACAUUUCAGUUGUAAACAAACAAAUUGUAAAUAAACAAACAAAAUAAAAUUUCUACUGAUUGUGUUCAAACUAUUUGUGCUCUUAGAAAAUAAAAAAAAAGAAUAUUUCCGUAGCCCUAUUUUUUAUGGAGGAGGUUCGAAAUGUGCCACGGAGGCAUUUAAGAGAUGCUUCGAAUUUAUUUGAAGUACCUAACAACCAGUUUGUGGCCAACUUUCGUGUGUCGAAGGAAGUUUUCGGGCUCUUUUGGAUAUGAUGGAAGAGAAGUGGGUGCCCGGUUGCAGAACUACCCAAAUCCGCCCUGAUUUAAAACUUCUUCUGCUGCUUCCAAAAAUUGGAACACAGGAUUCUCCUCCAUUUACUCAACUAGUGCCCGCAGCUGUGUAGUUGAUGAUUUUUUCGUGCUGGAAUUGAGAAAAUAAAAAAAAUAUAUAUUUGUUGUUCACAUAUUAAA